rnacentral:lncRNA from 1 species
GGAAAGGACAUGGUCUCGCGACCAGAGAUUGAUAGGAUCGGGAGUCGGUUAUGCGAAGGGAAGGUAUUAGCACCCCUACGCAUCCGUCGUACUCGACGGGAUCCACGCUCGGAAAGAAUAGAAGAAAGGUUGCUAAAUAACUGCUCAAAGAAUGCACGCACACACUGGAAUCAAACCCAGAUGAAAGACGGAAGAAGAGGACUCGGCA